AUGCUAUUUCCUAGCCAGCUAAAGGACCUCUGAUGACGUCAUGCCCAUGUGACCAGACUCGAGUAGGCGGAGCCAGUCUGGAGUCUGCAAGAAGCACAGUUGAUUUCCCGGGCUUUUGAGUGGUUUGAUCUGGUGAGGACAAGGGCAGAAGCAGGUGCAUGGUCUGGUCAUAUCAGAGGCAGACAACAAUAGGGGUUGACGCGCGUUACCAGAAAGAUACCUGGUGGUGAUGUUUCCUGAGAACAUCGAGCCUUAGGGAAAAUGCAAAAGAAUGGAUAUUGUAUGAAAGGUUUCAGUUGGCUUCUUACAUUUGCUUUCUUGAAGAUUGAAUGGAUCAUGUCACCUCGUUCACAACAUCAUAUGCUUAUAUUCUGUAAUUUAUUUUUUUUACCAUUGUUAUGCACUUGUCAUAAUUUCUAUUUCGUUAUGCACUUGUAUUGAGCAUCUCUAACCCCUUAACUACAUGUGACGUAAAUUUGCGUCAACAUGACAGUAAGAAGAUAUGGAGCUGUUGCAGAUUAUGUGUAAGUAACCAUAGGAAGAAAACAAAAUGAUGUUCGGCUCCAAAAAACAAGCAAACUUUUCAUUUGGUUUAAAAAUCCAGACAAAUACAAGGCAAACGGUCCACGCUAUAUCAUUAUUAUUUAUUAUUAAAGCGCCAUUCAUUCCAUAGCUCUGUACAUAUGAGAAGAGGUAUACAUACAUAAUACAGACAAUUGUACUAAU